CCCUUAGAUGUUCUGGGCAGCACGCGCGCUACAAUGGUCUUCGCAAACGGAUGCAUUCUCGAAGGAGAAUGCCAAUCUUGGAAUCUAUGCCUUGGUCGGGACAGUUGCUUGCAAUUUUUCGACUCGAACCAGGAAUUCCUUGUAAUCGUGAUUCAUCACAUCACGAUGAACACGUCCCUGCCCUUUGUACACACCGCCCGUCGCUCCUACCGAUCGAAGAGUUAGGUGAAUUGUUUUGAUCGAUAAGAUUUGACUAUGGUCAACUCUCGUUGUGAAAUUCUGUGAAUCUGACUGUUUAGAGGAAGGAAAAGUCAUAACA
rnacentral:rRNA from 1 species